AUAAUGGGUCAGCGACUUAUAUUCUGUAGCAAGGUUAACCGAAUAGGGGAGCCGAAGGGAAACCGAGUCUUAACUGGGCGUUAAGUUGCAGGGUAUAGACCCGAAACCCGGUGAUCUAGCCAUGGGCAGGUUGAAGGUUGGGUAACACUAACUGGAGGACCGAACCGACUAAUGUUGAAAAAUUAGCGGAUGACUUGUGGCUGGGGGUGAAAGGCCAAUCAAACCGGGAGAUAGCUGGUUCUCCCCGAAAGCUAUUUAGGUAGCGCCUCGUGAAUUCAUCUCCGGGGGUAGAGCACUGUUUCGGCAAGGGGGUCAUCCCGACUUACCAACCCGAUGCAAACUGCGAAUACCGGAGAAUGUUAUCACGGGAGACACACGGCGGGUGCUAACGUCCGUCGUGAAGAGGGAAACAACCCAGACCGCCAGCUAAGGUCCCAAAGUCAUGGUUAAGUGGGAAACGAUGUGGGAAGGCCCAGACAGCCAGGAUGUUGGCUUAGAAGCAGCCAUCAUUUAAAGAAAGCGUAAUAGCUCACUGGUCGAGUCGGCCUGCGCGGAAGAUGUAACGGGGCUAAACCAUGCACCGAAGCUGCGGCAGCGACGCUGAUGCGUUGUUGGGUAGGGGAGCGUUCUGUAAGCCUGUGAAGGUGUGCUGUGAGGCAUGCUGGAGGUAUCAGAAGUGCGAAUGCUGACAUAAGUAACGAUAAAGCGGGUGAAAAGCCCGCUCGCCGGAAGACCAAGGGUUCCUGUCCAACGUUAAUCGGGGCAGGGUGAGUCGACCCCUAAGGCGAGGCCGAAAGGCGUAGUCGAUGGGAAACAGGUUAAUAUUCCUGUACUUGGUGUUACUGCGAAGGGGGGACGGAGAAGGCUAUGUUGGCCGGGCGACGGUUGUCCCGGUU
rnacentral:rRNA from 1 species